rnacentral:sRNA from 1 species
CUAGCAGUAGCUGGGUCUUUAUUCAGCACUCAUUUGCUGUGCAUCUUGUGCAUGGGCCUCUGAAAAUAAGGAAUUGGAUAUAGUCCCAGGCCUUGCAUUUGGGGGAUCAGGUCCAGGAGGGAACUGGAGACAGGAACUGAGUUUCUAUCAAGGGGGAUGUCCUUGAGGCCUGCAUGUAGGGGGAGUCCGGCAAUGCCACCCUGCACCCAGGGAAGUGGGGUUUUGCUGACCUUGUUAACUACUGUUAGCUCCUGGUUUCUCAUCCACCCACUUUACUCCUCUCCAGAUCUCCGGAUGGACCCAAGCCCUGCCGGACAUGGUGGUGUCCCACCUCUUUGGGAAGGAAGAAAUGCAGAGUAACGUGGAAGUGGUCCACACCUACCGCCAGCACAUCGUGAAUGACAUGAACCCCGGCAACCUGCACCUGUUCAUCAAUGCCUACAACAGCCGGCGCGACCUGGAGAUUGAGCGACCAAUGCCGGGAACCCACACAGUCACCCUGCAGUGCCCUGCUCUGUUGGUGGUUGGGGACAGCUCGCCUGCGGUGGAUGCUGUGGUGGAGUGCAACUCGAAAUUGGACCCAACAAAGACCA